CUUAUCUUUGCUAGUCUAAUGCUGAUUGCAAAGGUCAUAAAGAACUUCCUAUACUACUAUUUUGUCCAAACAGAGCACGUGUGACAACACAUGUUGAUUCAAAUAUAAGCUGACCUUUUAACCCAUGUGUGCAUGUUUAUGUUUGUACAGGGCAACAGGGCUGCUGUACAUCAUACACAAAACCCCGUGCUGUGAACAUUAUUCUGAGACAUAGACAAAAGGUGGAGCUUUGCUGGAAGCAGGGUAUUAGCGAAUGGUGUAACAUUGAAGCCGUUGUGCUUAAGUGGAGACACCGGUACAUAUGUGUGGAUCCUAAACCUCGCAAGAUGCACAAACUCGUUGAACGCUUGUGCAACAGGAGAAAGAAUGGCUAACUUCCCAGGAAGAAGAACAGUAUCUGAAUAUCUGCACAAAUAUUAAUUAAUAUAUCCUUGCUACAAUUAGCAUGCCUAUAUAGCACUUAUUCUCAAAAUGUGUUUUGUACAUGUUUUAGCUAAACAAACUAAACAAAGUUUUAUUUAUAUUAUAAUAACAAUAUCUGAGGGCUGAGGCCAGAUCAAGAUGAUUAGUUGCUCUUUGUUUGGGGCUUUGUACAUGUAAAUGAUGAAGUGAAGUGUUGAAGUGAUGUCAUUUUGAUGGUUUCAAACAAACUGCAUAGCUAAAAACUGGGAAAAAAUGUCCACAAAUAUGUUAUGCUAGCAUGACAUUGUGACACCCCUUUCUCUCAUUCCUGUUAUACUCAGUCAUUUAUAAACUAUUAACCUUCAGAGACUCAAAAGAUCACAAAAACGAUAAGCAAAGAGAGUAAUUUUAUACCAUAUAUCUUAUUUGCCUUUCAGACAUGAACAACAGCAAUGGUAGUGUUACAGUGUCAUUCUUAGAACUGGCUCCAGUGUCCAAGUCGUGUUGUCAUAAUCUCCAACUUUAAUCUCCAACUGCAAUUGCUUUGACUUCAUAUUUCACUUUUGACAUACAGAUGUGAGAACAAAGAGGACUGUGAUACACACAUCAACAGAAAAAGGAUAAGCCUUCACAAAACUAUUUCUUACUCAAUAACUACAUGUCUUCAGGCAUUUUAUGGCUUCAUAUUGUGGAAACUGAGAGAGUUAUUGGCAAAGAGAAGACAGAGGGAUAUCUCUGCCAUCUCAAUAGCCAAGAGAAAUGUAAGGUAAGAUUUCAGUGAGCUGAUCGUAUCACACACAUAGGACCAGAGUAUUAUGACACAGUAUUCAUUUUAGCUGCAGAAAACACAAAGUUAAUGUUAAGGUUAAUGCAAACGAAUUACCAAAAGAGCAAAAAACUGUAAGUUGCAAAAAGCAAUGCAGAUUCAAUGUGAUUGGCAUUAAUGAGAAGUCCAUUCCACCAAAAAAGACUGAAAAUUGGAUUAACAGAUAUUUUGUUAAAAAUUACCAACAUCCACCAGUUCAUUAAUUAUUUAGAAAUAAAGCUUUGAAAGGAGUACACAAGCCUAAGCAGAAAAAGAGUAGUUCCUGCUUCUGAGCAAGAGACUGCAAUAAUCUUUUUGUUUUGGAAGGUAUGAAAAUGUGUGUAUUUUAUUUUCACUGAAGUCUGUAAUGUUUUCAUAAGCAUAUCAGUUACUUGCUGCAUAUACUCAAGCAUGUGGAUUUAUGUUACUAUUUCUGUUUUUGAGGCAGACUGCAUUAAAAAGCAUUGUUUGUAUGUUUAUUAAAUUAUUUUCCUGUUGCUGACUGAGUGGAUUAACCUCUUAUUUGAUGUUUAUAUUUAUAAAACUGCU